GUCCUGACGCUGAUCCGGGGGGAACUCGGCAAGGAUGCCGAGUUAGCUGCACCGGGCCAGGGAUGGCCCGUUGCAGCGACCCCCGGAUCAGUGUCAGGGC
rfam:Pseudomonas syringae pv. japonica str. M301072 contig3143.1, whole genome shotgun sequence.